rnacentral:rRNA from 1 species
UACGUAGGGUGCAAGCGUUGUCCGGAAUUAUUGGGCGUAAAGAGCUCGUAGGCGGUUUGUCGCGUCUGCUGUGAAAACUCGGGGCUUAACCCCGGGCCUGCAGUGGGUACGGGCAGACUAGAGUGCGGUAGGGGAGACUGGAAUUCCUGGUGUAGCGGUGAAAUGCGCAGAUAUCAGGAGGAACACCGGUGGCGAAGGCGGCUCUCUGGACCGAUACUGACGCUGAGGCGCGAAAGCGUGGGGAGCAAACAGG